rnacentral:tRNA from 1 species
AUUACUUUGGCAGAAUAGUGUAAUAAAUUUAGAAUUUAUAUUAAAAUAUAUAAUAAAUUAUAUUAAGUAAUA